GACGAACGCUGGCGGCGUGCUUAACACAUGCAAGUCGAACGGAAAGACCCUGCUUUUGUGGGGUGCUCGAGUGGCGAACGGGUGAGUAACACGUGAGUAACCUGCCCUUGACUUUGGGAUAACUUCAGGAAACUGGGGCUAAUACCGGAUAGGAGCUCCUGCUGCAUGGUGGGGGUUGGAAAGUUUCGGCGGUUGGGGAUGGACUCGCGGCUUAUCAGCUUGUUGGUGGGGUAGUGGCUUACCAAGGCUUUGACGGGUAGCCGGCCUGAGAGGGUGACCGGCCACAUUGGGACUGAGAUACGGCCCAGACUCCUACGGGAGGCAGCAGUGGAGAAUAUUGCACAAUGGGCGGAAGCCUGAUGCAGCAACGCCGCGUGCGGGAUGACGGCCUUCGGGUUGUAAACCGCUUUCGCCUGUGACAAAGCGUGAGUGACGGUAAUGGGUAAAGAAGCACCGGCUAACUACGUG
rnacentral:rRNA from 1 species